rnacentral:rRNA from 1 species
GACGAACGCUGGCGGCGUGCUUAACACAUGCAAGUCGAACGCUGAAGCUCAGCUUUUGUUGGGUGGAUGAGUGGCGAACGGGUGAGUAACACGUGAGUAACCUGCCUCCUUCUUUGGGAUAACGCCCGGAAACGGGGGCUAAUACUGGAUAUUCACUGGUCUUCGCAUGGGGGUUGGUGGAAAGGGUUUUUCUGGUGGGGGAUGGGCUCGCGGCCUAUCAGCUUGUUGGGGGGGUGAUGGCCUACCAAGGCUUUGACGGGUAGCCGGCCUGAGAGGGUGACUGAUCACAUGAGGACUGGGAUACGGCCCGGAAUCCUACGGGAGGCAGCAGUGGGGAAUAUUGCACAGUGGGCGCAAGCCUGGUGCAGCGCCGCCGCGUGAGAGAUGGAGGCCUUGGGGUUGUGAACCUCUUUCGCUCAUGGUCAAGCCGCAACAAUGGUUGUGGUGAGGGUAGUGGGUAAAGAAGCGCCGGCUAACUACGUG